rnacentral:rRNA from 1 species
UACGAAGGGGGCUAGCGUUGCUCGGAAUCACUGGGCGUAAAGGGUGCGUAGGCGGGUCUUUAAGUCAGGGGUGAAAUCCUGGAGCUCAACUCCAGAACUGCCUUUGAUACUGAAGAUCUUGAGUUCGGGAGAGGUGUGUGGAACUGCGAGUGUAGAGGUGAAAUUCGUAGAUAUUCGCAAGAACACCAGUGGCGAAGGCGGCUCACUGGCCCGGUACUGACGCUGAGGUGCGAAAGCGUGGGGAGCAAACAGG